UCGGGGUGCAGCAGGCGCGAAAACUUUACAAUGCGGGAAACCGUGAUAAGGGGACACCGAGUGCCAGCAUCAUAUGCUGGCUGUCCAGGUGUGUAAACUACACCUGUUAGCAAGGGCCGGGCAAGACCGGUGCCAGCCGCCGCGGUAACACCGGCGGCCCGAGUGGUGAUCGUGAUUAUUGGGUCUAAAGGGUCCGUAGCCGGUUUGGUCAGUCCUCCGGGAAAUCUGACGGCUCAACCGUUAGGCUUUCGGGGGAUACUGCCAGGCUUGGAACCGGGAGAGGUAAGAGGUACUACAGGGGUAGGAGUGAAAUCUUGUAAUCCCUGUGGGACCACCUGUGGCGAAGGCGUCUUACCAGAACGGGUUCGACGGUGAGGGACGAAAGCUGGGGGCACGAACCGGAUUAGAUACCCGGGUAGUCCCAGCCGUAAACGAUGCUCGCUAGGUGUCAGGCAUGGCGCGACCGUGUCUGGUGCCGCAGGGAAGCCGUGAAGCGAGCCACCUGGGAAGUACGGCCGCAAGGCUGAAACUUAAAGGAAUUGGCGGGGGAGCAC
rnacentral:rRNA from 1 species